rnacentral:rRNA from 1 species
UACGUAGGGGGCGAGCGUUAAUCGGAAUUACUGGGCGUAAAGCGUGCGCAGGCGGUUCGUUGUGUCGGCGGUGAAAGCCCCGGGCUUAACCUGGGAAUGGCCGUGGAAACUGGCGAACUGGAGUGUGGCAGAGGGGGGUGGAAUUCCGCGUGUAGCAGUGAAAUGCGUAGAGAUGCGGAGGAACACCGAUGGCGAAGGCAGCCCCCUGGGCUAACACUGACGCUCAGGCACGAAAGCGUGGGGAGCAAACAGG